rnacentral:rRNA from 1 species
CCUACGGGAGGCAGCAGUGAGGAAUAUUGGUCAAUGGGCGAGAGCCUGAACCAGCCAAGUCGCGUGAGGGAGUACUGCCCUAUGGGUUGUAAACCUCUUUUGUCGGGGAGCAAAAGCCGGACGUGUCCGGCUGUGAGAGUAACCGAAGGAAAAGCAUCGGCUAACUCCGUGCCAGCAGCCGCGGUAAUACGGAGGAUGCGAGCGUUAUCCGGAUUUAUUGGGUUUAAAGGGUGCGCAGGCGGAUUCUUAAGGCAGCGGUAAAAUCGUGGGGCUCAACCCCAUCCAGCCGUUGAAACUGGGGAUCUAGAGUGUGCGAGAGGUAUGCGGAAUGCGUGGUGUAGCGGUGAAAUGCAUAGAUAUCACGCAGAACCCCGAUUGCGAAGGCAGCAUACCGGUGCACAACUGACGCUCAGGCACGAAAGCGUGGGUAUCGAACAGGAUUAGAUACCCCUGUAGUC